rnacentral:rRNA from 1 species
CUGGGCGCAGCCUGAUCCAGCCAUGCCGCGUGCAGGAUGACGGUCCUAUGGAUUGUAAACUGCUUUUAUACGAGAAGAAACACUGCUUCGUGAAGCAGCUUGACGGUAUCGUAAGAAUAAGGAUCGGCUAACUCCGUGCCAGCAGCCGCGGUAAUACGGAGGAUCCAAGCGUUAUCCGGAAUCAUUGGGUUUAAAGGGUCCGUAGGCGGUUUAAUAAGUCAGUGGUGAAAGCCCAUCGCUCAACGGUGGAACGGCCAUUGAUACUGUUAGACUUGAAUUAUUAGGAAGUAACUAGAAUAUGUAGUGUAGCGGUGAAAUGCUUAGAGAUUACAUGGAAUACCAAUUGCGAAGGCAGGUUACUACUAAUGGAUUGACGCUGAUGGACGAAAGCGUGGGUAGCGAACAGGAUUAGAUACCCUGGUAGUCCACGCCGUAAACGAUGGAUACUAGCUGUUGGAAGCAAUUUCAGUGGCUAAGCGAAAGUGAUAAGUAUCCCACCUGGGGAGUACGUUCGCAAGAAUGAAACUCAAAGGAAUUGACGGGGGCCCGCACAAGCGGUGGAGCAUGUGGUUUAAUUCGAUGAUACGCGAGGAACCUUACCAAGGCUUAAAUGUAGAUUGACCGGUUUGGAAACAGAUCUUUCGCAAGACAAUUUACAAGGUGCUGCAUGGUUGUCGUCAGCUCGUGCCGUGAGGUGUCACGUUAAGUCCUAUAACGAGCGCAACCCCUGUUGUUAGUUGCCAGCGAGUCAWGU